rnacentral:rRNA from 1 species
CCUACGGGAGGCAGCAGUGAGGAAUAUUGGUCAAUGGACGAGAGUCUGAACCAGCCAAGUAGCGUGAAGGAUGACUGCCCUAUGGGUUGUAAACUUCUUUUAUAUGGGAAUAAAACGUUCCACGUGUGGGAUUUUGUAUGUACCAUAUGAAUAAGGAUCGGCUAACUCCGUGCCAGCAGCCGCGGUAAUACGGAGGAUCCGAGCGUUAUCCGGAUUUAUUGGGUUUAAAGGGAGCGUAGGUGGGUUGUUAAGUCAGUUGUGAAAGUUUGCGGCUCAACCGUAAAAUUGCAGUUGAAACUGGCAGUCUUGAGUACAGUAGAGGUGGGCGGAAUUCGUGGUGUAGCGGUGAAAUGCUUAGAUAUCACGAAGAACUCCGAUUGCGAAGGCAGUUCACUGGACUGCAACUGACACUGAUGCUCGAAAGUGUGGGUAUCAAACAGGAUUAGAUACCCUGGUAGUC